rnacentral:rRNA from 1 species
UACGGGGGGAGCAAGCGUUGUUCGGAUUUACUGGGCGUAAAGGGCGCGUAGGCGGCCACCGCAAGUCGACUGUGAAAUCUCCGGGCUUAACCCGGAAAGGUCAGCCGAUACUGCGGGGCUAGAGUGCAGAAGGGGCAACUGGAAUUCUCCGUGUAGCGGUGAAAUGCGUAGAUAUCGAGAGGAACACCUGCGGCGAAGGCGGGUUGCUGGGCUGACACUGACGCUGAGGCGCGAAAGCUAGGGGAGCGAACGGG